rnacentral:rRNA from 1 species
GUGCCAGCAGCCGCGGUAAUACGGGGGGAGCUAACGUUGUUCGGAAUCACUGGGCGUAAAGGGCGCGUAGGCGGCCUUGUAAGUGGAAUGUGAAAGCCCCUGGCCCAACCAGGGAACUGCGUCCCAUACUGCAAGGCUUGAGUGCAGAAGAGGAUGGGGGAAUUCCCGGUGUAGCGGUGAAAUGCAUUGAUAUCGGGAGGAACACCAGUGGCGAAGGCGCCCAUCUGGUCUGCUACUGACGCUCAGGCGCGAAAGCCGGGGGAGCAAACAGGAUUAGAAACCCCGGUAGUCC